CUGUUUUCUUGGCUGUCUACAUGUGUGUUGGCACCUUAUGCUUCUACUUGGUCAGGGAUGAUAUUGAAGGGACAAAAACAAAUCCAAUUAUCGAUGCUGUUUAUUUCGUUGUUGUGACUAUGACUACUGUAGGAUAUGGGGACCUAGUGCCAAAUAUUGCCAUACCUAAGAAGACAAAAACAGAGGCAAGCAUCUUCACAAAGGCAGUAUUUGGCACUAGGUCCCCAUAUCCUACA
rnacentral:misc_RNA from 1 species